UACGUAGGGACCAAGCGUUGUUCGGAUUUACUGGGCGUAAAGGGCGCGUAGGCGGCUUGACAAGUCACUUGUGAAAUCUCCGGGCUUAACUCGGAACGGCCAAGUGAAACUGUCAUGCUAGAGUGCAGAAGGGGCAAUCGGAAUUCCCGGUGUAGUGGUAGAAUGCGUAGAUAUCGGGAGGAACACCAGUGGCGAAGGCGGUUGCCUGGGGCUUUGCUGACGCUGAUGCGCGAAAGCGUGGGGAGCGAUCCGG
rnacentral:rRNA from 1 species